UUAGUGCAUCGUGGACGCAGAAUUGAGUAUUUUAUCGUGUAUGUUUGAAAUGCAAGAUAUUUCAAUUAUUGAAACGUUAUUUAUUAAUUGCUUUUAUAUUUAGUGCGAAAUCAGUUGUAGAAAUUAGUUAAACAGUCAGCUGCAAAAGUAUUUAAUAUGAAACCGGCAAAUAAGUAUAUAGGCCGCCUGCAAUGCAAAGUCUGUUCGUGUAUUGUGAUAAUUGAUUUGUCAUGUAAUAAUUGAAAUUUCUAACACACCAGUCAGAAACAUAACCUCAAUUCAGUGAUAUAUGAAUAAAGAGAAAGAAAAUUACAGUGCUGAUAACCCCUACGAAAAUGGAUUUCAAACUAGGGAAAUUUGCUCCAAUAGAGAAGAUAAAUACAAAGUUAGAUAAAAUAUUAGAAAUUAUUAAUCCUUUGUCACCAAAAAAACAAGCAAGGCUUCAAAACAUGCAAGAAGAAAAAUAAGAACACAUAUCAAUAAAUAAGAACACAUAUCGAUUAAGUGUUGAAAAGAAAAUGAAUUGUUGAGUAUUUCUUAAGUAAUGAUCUUGUAUUACAGAAUAGGAAAGUGAUAUAUUUAAUACGAAAACGCCAGAGGUGAGUAUAAUUGUGCGGAUUUUUUUUUAAAUUUACAAAUUAUUAUAUUAAUGAUUAAUUAGUUAUUUUCAGUAUAUAGGUCGUGUUCAAUGCAAAUUCUGUUUAUGUAUUGUGAUAAUUGAUUUAUCACAUAUUUAUUGAAAUUUCUGACAGACCAGUCAAAAAUCACAUAACCUCAAUUCAGUGAUAUGAUAUGAAUAUUAUAGAGAAAGACUGCUCAUAACCCUUAUGGGUUAUGUCAAAAUGGAUUUCAAACUAGGGAAAUUUGCUCUAAUCAAGAAGAUAAAUUGUCACCAAAGAAACAAGCAAGACUUAAAAGCAUGCGAGAAGGAAAACAAAGAAUACACCGGAUAUCACACAUUAUAUGGAUUAAGUGUUGAAGAGAACAUGAAUUGUUGAGUAUUUCGAGUCUGAUGAUCUUGUGUUACAGAAUUGGUAUAUUAAGAAAAUUCACGUCUUAAAAAUUAAGAGGAUAAAAUCAAUGCAAGAAAAUUAUUAAGUGUGUUCAUCGAAUAAUUAUCUCUGUCAUAUGAUUGUAAGUACUACAUAGUCAUCAACUUCAAAUAAGGAGUAUGUUUAGAGAUACAUUAACAGAUGCAAGUGAGUUGAACAUAUUUAACGCAAGACUUAACUUUGCCAAGUCUGAUUUAACUGAAGUUGCCAAGAGAGUUAAACAUAAUACAUAUUAUGAAUAAAUAAAUAAUUAUUUUUAUAGGC